rnacentral:rRNA from 1 species
GACGAACGCUGGCGGCGUGCUUAACACAUGCAAGUCGAACGAUGAAGCCGCUUCGGUGGUGGAUUAGUGGCGAACGGGUGAGUAACACGUGGGCAAUCUGCCCUGCACUCUGGGACAAGCCCUGGAAACGGGGUCUAAUACCGGAUACGACCAUCGGCCGCAUGGCCUGGUGGUGGAAAGCUCUGGUGGUGCAGGAUGAGCCCGCGGCCUAUCAGCUUGUUGGUGGGGUGAUGGCCUACCAAGGCGACGACGGGUAGCCGGCCUGAGAGGGCGACCGGCCACACGGGGACUGGAACACGGCCCAGACUCCUACGGGGGGCAGCAGUGGGGAAUAUUGCACAAUGGGCGCAAGCCUGAUGCAGCGACGCCGCGUGAGGGAUGACGGCCUUCGGGUUGUAAACCUCUUUCAGCAGGGAAGAAGCUUUCGGGUGACGGUACCUGCAGAAGAAGCACCGGCUAACUACGUGCCAGCAGCCGCCGUAA